rnacentral:tRNA from 1 species
GCGCCUGUGGCGGAAUUGGCAGACGCGCUAGACUUAGGAUCUAGUGAUUUACAUCGUGCAGGUUCGAUUCCUGUCAGGCGCAC